AUGAGUUCGGCCAAGAUUAUUUGCUUCAAGUGCAAAAUUGAAGGGCGUCAUGUUAGAUCUUGCCCAUUGAAGAAGAAGGCCAUUAGUGACAAGCAACAAGGGAAGCUGCUACAAGUGCAUUCUCAUGCUCAACCUCAAGUUGAAGAAAGGCCUCUUCCCAUGAAGACUCAAGCUAAUGCUUCUCAUGUUAAGAAAUCAAGUGAGAAGAAAGUGAAGAGUAGACGUUGCUACCUAUGUCGUGAGAAAGGUUACCUCGCUUCUUCAUGCACUAGUGGUAACUUAUCCAACCCAACUAUUAUUGAUGAUGUCUAUUCUCUUGGGAAGGAUAAGGUUGGCAAUGUGGUUGCCAAGUUUGUUGGUACUCAAAGUGGUUUGAAGCAAAGAACCAUUUGGGUAGCCAAGCCUAUUGUGACUAACCUCUUAGGACCCAACUUGGUUGGAGACGAACUAGCUCAAACUUGA
rnacentral:rRNA from 1 species